rnacentral:rRNA from 1 species
GAUGAACGCUGGCGGCGUGCCUAAUACAUGCAAGUCGAGCGAACAGACGAGGAGCUUGCUCCUCUGACGUUAGCGGCGGACGGGUGAGUAACACGUGGAUAACCUACCUAUAAGACUGGGAUAACUUCGGGAAACCGGAGCUAAUACCGGAUAAUAUAUUGAACCGCAUGGUUCAAUAGUGAAAGACGGUUUUGCUGUCACUUAUAGAUGGAUCCGCGCCGCAUUAGCUAGUUGGCAAGGUAACGGCUUACCAAGGCGACGAUGCGUAGCCGACCUGAGAGGGUGAUCGGCCACACUGGAACUGAGACACGGUCCAGACUCCUACGGGAGGCAGCAGUAGGGAAUCUUCCGCAAUGGGCGAAAGCCUGACGGAGCAACGCCGCGUGAGUGAUGAAGGUCUUCGGAUCGUAAAACUCUGUUAUUAGGGAAGAACAAAUGUGUAAGUAACUAUGCACGUCUUGACGGUACCUAAUCAGAAAGCCACGGCUAGCUACGUG